rnacentral:rRNA from 1 species
AAUUUAUGAAAAUUAAUAAAUUUUGGCAGUUAAUUAUAUUAUUAGAGGAGCUUGUUUUAUGAAAUAGAAUUUACUCUUUUUAUUUUAAUAUAUCUUUUGCAGUUUAUUCAUCUCUGUUAUUAAAUGAAAACUGAUUUUAAUAUUUUAUUAUUUCAGGUCAAGAUGUAGCAAUGAAAUAUUAUAAAUUAGCUACAAUUAUGGAAUAAAUAUUAUAUGAUUUGGAAUUGACUACUAUUAUUUGAAUUUAGUUGUAAUUUUCAUUAGAGUAUUAUUAUGAUUUAGUAUAAUUAGUGUACAUAUCGCCCGUCACUCA